CGAGGGUGUCGGCCAUUUUGUGUCUGUUUCCUGCCGGACGUGGUGGUGGCGGUUGGUUCCGAGAACUGUGCGAGUCUCUUCUCUCUUUUUUUUUUUUGUUUUUCGUUUUUCCCCCCAGCUUCUUUUCGCCUCUAUUCUGCCUAGUCUGUAGUGCGCAGUUAUGGGUCGCAAGAAGAAGAAGCAGCUGAAGCCGUGGUGCUGGUAUUGUAACAGAGAUUUUGAUGAUGAGAAGAUCCUUAUACAGCACCAAAAAGCAAAGCAUUUUAAAUGCCACAUAUGUCAUAAGAAAUUGUACACAGGACCUGGUUUAGCUAUUCAUUGCAUGCAGGUGCAUAAAGAAACCAUAGAUGCAGUACCAAAUGCAAUACCUGGGAGAACAGACAUAGAAUUGGAAAUAUAUGGCAUGGAAGGUAUUCCAGAAAAGGAUAUGGAUGAAAGACGGCGACUUCUUGAACAGAAAACACAAGAGAGUCAAAAAAAGAAACAACAAGAUGAUUCUGACGAAUAUGAUGAUGACGAAUCUGCAGCCUCGACUUCCUUUCAGCCACAGCCUGUUCAACCUCAGCAAGGUUAUAUCCCACCAAUGGCUCAGCCAGGACUGCCUCCAGUUCCUGGGGCACCAGGAAUGCCUCCAGGCAUACCUCCCUUGAUGCCCGGUGUUCCUCCCCUGAUGCCAGGCAUGCCCCCAGUUAUGCCAGGAAUGCCACCUGGAAUGAUGCCAAUGGGUGGAAUGAUGCCACCUGGACCUGGAAUACCACCUCUGAUGCCGGGUAUGCCACCAGGUAUGCCCCCACCUGUUCCACGUCCUGGAAUUCCUCCAAUGACUCAAGCACAGGCUGUUUCAGCACCAGGUAUUCUCAAUCGACCACCUGCACCGACAGCAGCAGUACCCGCUCCACAGCCUCCAGUUACUAAGCCUCUUUUCCCCAGUGCUGGACAGGUAAGGUGAAAUUCUUGAAAAGGAGUGUACAUUGUAUGUUUAAGGUAAAAUGGACUUGUUCACAGAUAUCUUUGAAAAUGUUACAGAUUGAUUUCUUAAAUUAAAACUUUAAAAUGUGAUACAUUAAAAUGUACCUGUCAUUUGCUAUGUUUAUACCUUUAUUUCCUCUUCACAACAGGUAGAAAGAAAUCAGACAUUAUUUUUCCAAAGAUGUGGCUUCUUUAUUCUUAGCUGUAGCUAG
rnacentral:lncRNA from 1 species